GUGCUCACUUUGGCAGCACAUGUACUAUAAUUGGAACAAUACAGAGAAGAUUAACACAGCCCCGGCACAAGGAUGACACACAAAUUUGUGAAGCGUUCCAUAUUGUU